AUUGAACGCUGGCGGCAGGCCUAACACAUACAAGUCGAACGGUAACAGAAAGCAGCUUGCUGCUUUGCUGACGAGUGGCGGACGGGUGAGUAAUGUCUGGGAAACUGCCUGAUGGAGGGGGAUAACUACUGGAAACGGUAGCUAAUACCGCAUAACGUCGCAAGACCAAAGAGGGGGACCUUCGGGCCUCUUGCCAUCGGAUGUGCCCAGAUGGGAUUAGCUAGUAGGUGGGGUAACGGCUCACCUAGGCGACGAUCCCUAGCUGGUCUGAGAGGAUGACCAGCCACACUGGAACUGAGACACGGUCCAGACUCCUGCGGGAGGCAGCAGUGGGGAAUAUUGCACAAUGGGCGCAAGACUGAUGCAGCCAUGCCGAGUGUAUGAAGAAGGCCUUCGGGUUGUAAAGUACUUUCAGCGGGGAGGAAGGGAGUAAAGUUAAUACCUUUGCUCAUUGACGUUACCCGCAGAAGAAGCACCGGCUAACUCCGUG
rnacentral:rRNA from 1 species